AUUGAACGCUGGCGGCAGGCCUAACACAUGCAAGUCGAGCGGAUGAAGGGAGCUUGCUCCUGGAUUCAGCGGCGGACGGGUGAGUAAUGCCUAGGAAUCUGCCUGGUAGUGGGGGAUAACGUCCGGAAACGGGCGCUAAUACCGCAUACGUCCUGAGGGAGAAAGUGGGGGAUCUUCGGACCUCACGCUAUCAGAUGAGCCUAGGUCGGAUUAGCUAGUUGGUGGGGUAAAGGCCUACCAAGGCGACGAUCCGUAACUGGUCUGAGAGGAUGAUCAGUCAACCUGGAACUGAGACACGGCCAGACUCCUACGGGAGGCAGCAGUGGGGAAUAUUGGACUAUGGGCGAAAGCCUGAUCCAGCCAUGCCGCGUGUGUGAAGAAGGUCUUCGGAUUGUAAAGCACUUUAAGUUGGGAGGAAGGGCAGUAAGUUAAUACCUUGCUGUUUUGACGUUACCAACAGAAUAAGCACCGGCUAACUUCGUG
rnacentral:rRNA from 1 species